UACGGAGGAUGCGAGCGUUAUCCGGAUUUAUUGGGUUUAAAGGGUGCGUAGGCGGACUGUCAAGUCAGCGGUAAAAUUGAGAGGCUCAACCUCUUCCCGCCGUUGAAACUGGUGGUCUUGAGUGGAUGAGAAGUACGCGGAAUGCGUGGUGUAGCGGGGAAAUGCAUAGAUAUCGCGCAGAACUCCGAUUGCGAAGGCAGCGUACCGGCAUCCAACUGACGCUGAGGCACGAAAGCGUGGGGAUCAAACAGG
rnacentral:rRNA from 1 species